rnacentral:rRNA from 1 species
CCCAUACCACCUUGAAUGCGCCCGAUCUCAUCUGAUCUUGGAAGCUAAGCAGGGUCGCGCCUGGUUAGUACUUGGAUGGGAGAAGCUAUGAAAUACUGCAAUGUCCAGGAAUGGGC